rnacentral:misc_RNA from 1 species
UCCGUGGGUCCAGUAGUCCAAUCUCUAACCAAGUUCGUCAUCAUGAGUAGCACCAGUUCGUGAUUUCGUAAGCGCGUGGUAGAAGCCGGGGAGUAAUCACCGGGGGCUUGCCUCGCUAUCGGCAGCAAUUUGUUGCGACGAUCCGUCUGUGAACACGCGACAAGCGUGACAACGACUCGCUCGCGGAUGAUCUGGGCAUCGCGCACGCGAAACGAGGUUCCCGCACUUCUCCGAGGACGAGGAUCAUGUAUACCGUGUCUAAGGGACCUAGCAAGAUCGUAGCGAAAACACGACGAGGGAUCAGUCAGAAACUCGAGAGGCUGGAAACUCUACGUGAUAUGACGAGGAAGGCCGAUCCCGAGGAUCCCGACCACGAGGUCACCCGUAAUGUACCAAAGCCGGUCUUCCAUAUAAACGGGAAAUCGAAGCUCAUCUCACAGCGACAUCAGAUGCAAGAAGACAUUUCGCCGCAACACAAGGAACUUGUCUUAUUUAUUAGACAAUCAUGGAAUCAAGUUAGUACACUGCAAAGAUGCGAGUGUUGCAAUGGCACAGAAUGUACAGAAUUUUGCAAUCCUAAUUCCAUAGUAUAUUACAAUGAUGGUGAACCAAACAAUAGCCUUCAAGACUUCAAACCAUUUGAUUUGGAAUCUUGGUGGGGCAAACGAUUGUUUAACAACAUCACGAAGUCGCUCUGAAAUAUUCAAAAAAUCUGAAAGCGGUUUCCUAAGGAUGUACUUGAAAGUAGUCUAAAAUAUGGGGCAACUGAUGUGUGAGAGGAAGUUCAAGAUUCUAGAUCGAAUCCUAUCAAAUUGUUCGUAUAUAACUACGAUCGCAUCACACUAUUUGUUACAAGGCAAUACAUUAAUACAUAUAUAUCCGCGAGCUUCGAGAAUGCACACGUGUACGCAAUAAUAGUAAUACUGUUAUUAAUUAUAAAAUUGUUUACUGUCAAAUUGUUAAUAACAAUUGUUGUUUAUAUGCAUUUGUUAACGCGAUCUUUCUAAUUUUUGGAAUAUAGAUAACAUAAUUCUUUUGUUGCUCUAUUGAAUUAGAAUUGCUCAAUUUUAAUAGCGUACAGAGAAUUGUCAUUCUCGUACAAAGAGCUUCGAAAUGUAGCAGCAGCAAAGUUUUGCGAAACUUUCAGUAGACAAUAAGUAGAAUAAUGCAAGAUAUGCGAAUGCAAACGUCCCUCGUAUUAGAAAAGAUACAUAUUAAGUCCUGAUUAGGUUUUAAAAACACAAACCGAAGCCCCGAGGACGUCAUACAGUGUAUACCAAUGGAUAUACCAAAAUAUUUAAAUACAAAGGCCCCGUGCUGUGCGGUAUGAAUCCUGCGUGAGGUUGAUGAAUUUUUUAAUCUUAGAAAAUGUAUAUAUUGCAUGCAAUGGUCGCGUGAAUGCAUGACAAUGUUACGGGUAUUGUUACGACGAUUAUGUCCGAAUAUACUUUUAUGUAUGAGCAAGGGUUUAGCAUAAAUUCGUAGACUGAUAAUAUGUAAGAAAGUUAUCAUAUUGUUAUUCGCUGAAAGUCACAUUAUUCGCGUUAGCUUGCAGUAAUAGGAGUCCAUUGCAGAGUUUGCUCAUCAAAUUGUUAUAUUAUGGCAGAUUAAAUUGUUUCUUCCUCGCAUUAUUACGUAUUUGUCGGGCCACUAUACAUAUAUAUAUAGAGCUCCGAUUAAUGACAAUUUAAAUGCCACAAUAUAUCACGCGUCUGACAAAGCAAAGUUCGCAAGAGUAGUCGUAAUGUAGCAUAAAUCAAAUUUGGCCACGCGUGGCUGAAUUACACAUGAUCAUGAAUAAAUCUCUUUAUACACACAA